rnacentral:rRNA from 1 species
GUUGUUGUGGAGAAAUCAAUUGUGUGGAACGGGUUGUUGUGGGGUUGAGACCUUAUCAGCUCUCCUUACUCUUUACCUUUUUCACGCAAUGCACUUUCUCUUUAACAAGUCAACAUCAAUUUCUUUUGUUGUAAAAGGGUCAGCGGAAGGUGGCUUUCUUUUCGGAGAAAGUGUUUAUAGCCGUUGAUCUCUACAAUCGGAGAGAUUGAGGUCUGCAGCGUAGAUCCUUCGGGGUUAGAUACGUUGGUGCUAAGUUAUAAUCCUAUAUAGACAACUUGUUGACUAUAUUCGAUCAUGUAGCUUACUCGCUGGCGCUAUUUUACCUAC